UGGAUGUUUUACUCGGUGAGUAAUUAUUUUCCAUUCAACCUAACAAAUAUUUUCUUGAUACUCUUAAAUACCUGGUCGGGAAGACGCGGAACUGAAAAACCUUUGUAGGAAAAAGGAGAUGAAGAUCUUGGGGAAGCGAAUAUUUCCAAGACAACUCCUGCUUUUAGCUUCUGGGAUCCUGUUCCUGGGUUCGACAACGUACGACGUUCACAGAUCGAUAAAGCAAAAUGAAACGCCGCCGACGGCAGAGCAACUCCGGGAACUCGAACACUACCUCAGCUCUGUUCGCCGUCCUCCUCCUAACUCAUGACUCCAUCUACACGGUUCAAAAUUGGCCACGUAUGCUGUAUUAUAUUUCUUCUUUUUAAUUUUAUAACAACCAUUUUGUAUUUUCUUUUAAUAUAUAUUAUUACUAUAAUAAUGCGUUUGGAAUUUGAGUUUUGAAGACUCCCAACUCUU